rnacentral:piRNA from 1 species
UGCCAUAGAAACUGGCAAACUGCUGGCCAGGC